AACCCCGUCCGGAAAGGUAAGAGCCAUACCACCGGCAGCGAACUCUGUGCAGCUGGCGGCAACGCCAGGUGUAAAGCGUGGGAAGUGAGGCUGUAGGGAUAGUAUUGAGCACCGAAACCGAGCAAAUCCAUGGGCCGACGUAUUCGAGUCUACGGAAGGCAGCACGGGAAAAGGCGAUAAGGCAAGUCUGACCUGCCAUGGCGGUGUCUAAGACC
rnacentral:ncRNA from 1 species